UGAAUGGCAAAACGAAAGCUCAACUGUCUCCACAGGUUAAUCAAUGAAAUUGAUCUUUCCGUGCAGAAGCGGAAAUAUUUUUAUAAGACAAAAAGACCCUAUGGAGCUUCAAAUUUAAAUUAAUUAUAUAUGCUAAAAAUACAAUACAUAAUUUAAUGUAAGAUUUUAGGUUGGGGCGACCACGGAGUAAACUACAACCUCCGAGAUAAAUAAUUAAGAAAGACACUUCAAGAUAAUAAGACAAUUAAUAUACUUGAUCCAAUAUUUGAUCAACGAACCAAGUUACCCUAGGGAUAACAGCGCAAUCCUCUUAAAGAGUUCAUAUCGACAAGAGGGUUUACGACCUCGAUGUUGGAUCAGGGCCCCCUAAUGGUGCAGCAACUAUUAAAGGUCCGUUUGUUCAACGAUUAAAGCCCUACG
rnacentral:rRNA from 1 species